rnacentral:lncRNA from 1 species
AUCGGGGAUGCAAAUUCAACAUAUCGCCCUGGCAUUCAGAGUGGGCAUCUCCACAGCUGAUAUUAUUAUCCGCGAGACUUGCAAGGUGUUGUGGGAAAUUCUUGAGCCCAUUUGCCUCAAGGUACCAACUACUUCCGAUUGGCAGAAGGUGGCUGAAGGAUUUUACGAAAAAUGGAACUUCCCGCAUUGUGUCGGUGCCGUGGGUGUGAAACACGUCCAGAUCCAAGCCCCACCAAAUUCAGGCAGCCUGUACUUAAACUAUAAGGUAACGCACACAUUGACCCUUUUUUGUUAGUAAAUAACUAUUUUCUAUACAUUAACCAUUCAUCGUUACAGGGCACGUACUCUAUAGUACUUAUGGCCAUAGCUGACAGCAACCUGAAGUUUAUCCUUGUAGACGCUGGGGCCUAUGGGCGGCAGAGCGAUGGCGGAACACUCGGAGCAUCAAGACUGGGAAAUUCUUGGAGCGUGGCCUCCUUGGUCUCCCGGCACCAAAAUUCUUACCAGAAUCUCCAACGGUGGCACCCCAUGUUUUCGUAGGGGACGAAGCGUUCCAGCUUCGCCCUGACUUCCUUUAGCCUUACCCAGGCAGAGGCCUGGAUGAAGGCAAACGGAUAUUCAACUACCGCCUCAGUGGUGCAAGGAGGUGUGUUGAAAACGCAUUUGGGGUGAUGGCCUCGAGGUUUCGCCUUUUUCGCCGAAUUAUCCACCUGCUACCUGAGAAUGCACAUUAUGUGGUAAUGGCUGCAUGUGUGCUUCACAAUUUCUGAGGGAAGAUGCAGCUUACAUGCCACCAAACUAUGCGGAUACAGAAGACUGCUACGGCAACGUGACGGAAGGCCAGUGGCGGGAAGAAGACAGCCAAGCCAUGUUCGAAUUGGCGCCUCCAGUGGGCUAUAACUACAGUCGCAAUGCAGCUGCAACGAGGGAGAUUUUCAAGGCCUAUUUUACUAGCACGCAAGGAGCCGUGCCAUGGCAG